ensembl:lncRNA
GUUGGGGAAGGUUUUUCUGCAAAGUCAUGUGACUUCAAGGAAUCAUCACACCCUGCUCAUAAAUAGCCAGCUUGGUACUUUCGAUUUGCAGAACUGACUGCAAACCCAGAGGCUUCAGUACUCAGUUUGUUUUCAGACUGUCUAGACGUACAUCACACAUCUGAUGAACGAGAUUUCCUCUCCCGUGCUGUAAUGAUGGCUGGACACUAGGACUUAAUGGCAUAUACUGUAGAAAGGUCAUAUAGAACAUAGAGAAAUCUCAUUGGGAAUUAAGUCACCUUUCACGUUGCCUUUUAUUAUGAUCACAACCAGACAGUUAUAUUGUUCUGAGUUUAAUAAUAAGAUUAAUGUUUAGACUUUAGACUUAGAAAGGGGUUCUAUGAAUUAGUAAAUGGGUAUCUCUCUCUCUUUAUAUCGCCAUUACAGCAGUGUUUAAACAGAUACAUAGCAGACAAAUAUACAUAUAGACAGUUUU